rnacentral:rRNA from 1 species
GCUUUGAUGAUCAGUGGCGAACGGGUGAGUAACACGUGAGCAACCUACCCUUGACUCCGGGAUAACAGUUGGAAACAGCUGCUAAUACCGGAUACGACCUCGACCGACAUCAGUUGAGGUGGAAAGUUCUGGCGGUCAAGGAUGGGCUCGCGGCCUAUCAGCUAGUUGGUGAGGUAACGGCUCACCAAGGCUUCGACGGGUAGCCGGCCUGAGAGGGCGACCGGCCACACUGGGACUGAGAUACGGCCCAGACUCCUACGGGAGGCAGCAGUGGGGAAUAUUGCACAAUGGGCGAAAGCCUGAUGCAGCAACGCCGCGUGCGGGAUGACGGCCUUCGGGUUGUAAACCGCUUUCAGCUCCGACGAAGCGCAAGUGACGGUAGGAGCAGAAGAAGGACCGGCCAACUACGUGCCAGCAGCCGCGGUGAUACGUAGGGUCCGAGCGUUGUCCGGAAUUAUUGGGCGUAAAGGGCUUGUAGGCGGUCUGUCGCGUCGGAAGUGAAAACUCAGGGCUUAACCCUGAGCCUGCUUCCGAUACGGGCAGACUAGAGGAAUGCAGGGGAGAAUGGAAUUCCUGGUGGAGCGGUGGAAUGCGCAGAUAUCAGGAGGAACACCAGUGGCGAAGGCGGUUCUCUGGGCAUUUCCUGACGCUGAGAAGCGAAAGCGUGGGGAGCAAACAGGCUUAGAUACCCUGGUAGUCCACGCCGUAAACGGUGGGCACUAGGUGUGGGACUCAUUCCACGAGUUCCGUGCCGUAGCUAACGCAUUAAGUGCCCCGCCUGGGGAGUACGGCCGCAAGGCUAAAACUCAAAGGAAUUGACGGGGGCCCGCACAAGCGGCGGAGCAU